UUGAAAGGGAAACGAUUGAAGUCAGUCGUACCUGCGGGUAAUCAGCCUUUUGGGCAUGAUUCUGUGGAGCGUGAGGAGUUAAACGCCUUCAUACCUGCAUAUUCGUGUACAUUGGGUGUACUUGCCUGUGUGGUUAGUUAACAUCAAUUUUGGUUAUCAUAAAAUGGUUGGAGGAAUGUAGCUUCGAUUUCGAUUGAAGUGUUAUAGCCUUCGGCAGAUGUGAUGAUCGGGAUUGAGGAUUGCAACGGAUACCCUUCGGGGCUACCUGUCUGGUCUCUGACCGUUGCUUUGGUGCCGAAAGCGUGCUUACGGUUAUCAAAGUCGAUGGUCAAUAGGUUAGAACGGGUUAAAUUCGUUAAGGAUGUUGACGUA
rnacentral:rRNA from 1 species